rnacentral:rRNA from 1 species
UACGUAGGGGGCAAGCGUUGUCCGGAUUUAUUGGGCGUAAAGAGCGUGUAGGCGGUUCGGUAGGUCCGUUGUGAAAACUCGAGGCUCAACCUCGAGACGCCGAUGGAAACCCCCGAGCUAGAGUCCGGAAGAGGAGAGUGGAAUUCCUGGUGUAGCGGUGAAAUGCGCAGAUAUCAGGAAGAACACCCGUGGCUAAGGCGGCUCUCUAGUACGGUACUGACGCUGAGACGCGAAAGCGUGGGGAGCAAACAGG